rnacentral:rRNA from 1 species
GGGUUGCGGACAGUGUCUGGUGGGUAGUUUGACUGGGGCGGUCUCCUCCCAAAGAGUAACGGAGGAGCACGAAGGUUAGCUAAUCCUGGUCGGACAUCAGGAGGUUAGUGCAAUGGCAUAAGCUAGCUUGACUGCGAGCGUGACGGCGCGAGCAGGUGCGAAAGCAGGUCAUAGUGAUCCGGUGGUUCUGAAUGGAAGGGCCAUCGCUCAACGGAUAAAAGGUACUCCGGGGAUAACAGGCUGAUACCGCCCAAGAGUUCAUAUCGACGGCGGUGUUUGGCACCUCGAUGUCGGCUCAUCACAUCCUGGGGCUGAAGUAGGUCCCAAGGGUACGGCUGUUCGCCGUUUAAAGUGGUACGCGAGCUGGGUUUAGAACGUCGUGAGACAGUUCGGUCCCUAUCUGCCGUGGGCGCUGGAGAAUUGAGGGGGGCUGCUCCUAGUACGAGAGGACCGGAGUGGACGCAUCACUGGUGUUCGGGUUGUCAUGCCAAUGGCAUUGCCCGGUAGCUAAAUGCGGAAAAGAUAAGUGCUGAAAGCAUCUAAGCACGAAACUUGCCCCGAGAUGAGUUCUCCCUGACUCCUUGAGAGUCCUGAAGGAACGUUGAAGACGACGACGUUGAUAGGUCGGGUGUGUAAGCGUAGCGAUACGUUGAGCUAACCGAUACUAAUGAACCGUGAGGCUUAACCUU